rnacentral:rRNA from 1 species
CCUACGGGAGGCAGCAGUGGGGAAUAUUGGACAAUGGGGGGAACCCUGAUCCAGCGACGCCGCGUGAGUGAAGAAGUAUUUCGGUAUGUAAAGCUCUAUCAGCAGGGAAGAAAGAAAUGACGGUACCUGACUAAGAAGCCCCGGCUAACUACGUGCCAGCAGCCGCUGUAAUACGGCGGGGGCAAGCGUUAUCCGGAUUUACGGGGUGUAAAGGGAGCGUAGACGGCGAUGCAAGUCUGAAGUGAAAGGCGGGGGCCCAACCUCCGGACUGCUUUGGAAACUGUAUGGCUGGAGUGCAGGAGAGGUAAGUGGAAUUCGUAGUGUAGCGGUGAAAUGCGUAGAUAUUAGGAGGAACACCAGUGGCGAAGGCGGCUUACUGGACUGUAACUGACGUUGAGGCUCGAAAGCGUGGGGAGCAAACAGGAUUAGAUACCCCAGUAGUC